CUCCUGUCAGUAUACACGUGUCGAAAUUUAAAUUGGUACUUUCCGAGUGAAAUUGGUUGCCUUUUUUGUAUAGUUUGUGGUGCUGUUGUUGUGUUUGUGAAGGCCUAAAAAACGUGCCAGUGAUGAAGCAUCUUCCUCCCAAACUACAUCGGAGCAACCUCCGAAACGUUCUUCAAACGCUCCUCCAAAUGCAUCUGCCCAACAAACCUACAGCUUACCCGAAUUUGCUGACGGAUGGUGCAACCGAUCAUCGUCGUUUGAGUGAAUCUUGAUAAAUAUACCGUGUAUCUUUCAACCCGGACACUGGCAGAAUUGUCCUCAGUGGGACAGAAGCCAAAUAACCAAAAAAAAAAAAAAAAAA